CAAGAAAGCCCAAAUCACAAAACAACCUCACAGCUCAAAAGUUUCAAACUUUCACGAUUCAAGCACUCAUCUUCUCUCUUGCUUAAUCGAAGACGGAUAUCUGCAUCGAGAAGAGCUUUUGAAGUGUAAAAUACUGAGCGUUCUCUGCUUGAUAUAUACUUUUUGAUCCCUUAUUAAGAUAAUCAGAAGCAAAAGAAGUGAUGGAGAGUGCAAGGAGCGCUAUGAUCAACGGCGGACGUUUCUCUCAGAGGCCCAAUUCUGGGCGUCUGAUUCCCAAGAGGGGUCAGGUGAAGGUGGCUAUUGUUGGGGUUCUGCUUCACUCUUUCUCCUCCGUUUUCUCUGCCAGCAGCCGCCGCGACGGUUGUGAAUCUAGCGAUGCUCAUCACUUCUCUUAGCUGAUGAGAUCAUGUUGAUCAAUCAAUCAGUCCAGUUUUUUUGGUGAAAGAUUUUUACAUUUUUUAUGAGUGAGGGAGAGGGAAGGGUAAAAAGUUUGAGUUCUUACCUUUGUUUCUUGCAACAAAAGGCUGUAAAAAAUUUGUAGUUUGAAGUUUAUAACUGUUGGAAUAUGUUUGUUAACUCUUA